rnacentral:rRNA from 2 species
AAUACUGCAAGUCGAGCGGAUCUUCAUUAGCUUGCUUUUGAAGAUCAGCGGCGGACGGGUGAGUAACACGUGGGCAACCUGCCUGUAAGACUGGGAUAACUUCGGGAAACCGGAGCUAAUACCGGAUAAUCCUUUCCCUCACAUGAGGGAAAGCUGAAAGACGGUUUCGGCUGUCACUUACAGAUGGGCCCGCGGCGCAUUAGCUAGUUGGUGAGGUAACGGCUCACCAAGGCAACGAUGCGUAGCCGACCUGAGAGGGUGAUCGGCCACACUGGGACUGAGACACGGCCCAGACUCCUACGGGAGGCAGCAGUAGGGAAUCUUCCGCAAUGGACGAAAGUCUGACGGAGCAACGCCGCGUGAACGAUGAAGGCUUUCGGGUCGUAAAGUUCUGUUGUCAGGGAAGAACAAGUACCGGAGUAACUGCCGGUACCUUGACGGUACCUGACCAGAAAGCCACGGCUAACUACGUGCCAGCAGCCGCGGUAAUACGUAGGUGGCAAGCGUUGUCCGGAAUUAUUGGGCGUAAAGCGCGCGCAGGCGGUUCCUUAAGUCUGAUGUGAAAGCCCCCGGCUCAACCGGGGAGGGUCAUUGGAAACUGGGGAACUUGAGUGCAGAAGAGGAGAGCGGAAUUCCACGUGUAGCGGUGAAAUGCGUAGAGAUGUGGAGGAACACCAGUGGCGAAGGCGGCUCUCUGGUCUGUAAUUGACGCUGAGGCGCGAAAGCGUGNGGAGCGAACAGGGAUUAGAUACCCUGGGUAGUCCACGCCGGUA